rnacentral:rRNA from 1 species
CAGUAGCCGCGGGAAUACAGAGGAUGCAAGCGUUAUCCGGAACGAUUGGGCGUAAAGCGUCUGUAGGUGGCUUUUCAAGUCCGCCGUCAAAUCCCAGGGCUCAACCCUAGACAGGCGGUGGAAACUACCAAGCUUGAGUACAGUAGGGGCAGAGGGAAUUUCCAGUAGAGCGGUGAAAUGCGUUGAGAUCGGAAAGAACACCAAUGACAAAAGCACUCUGUUGGGCUGACACUGACACUGAGAGACGAAAGCUAGGGGAGCAAAUGGGAUUAGAGACCCCCGUAGUCCCUGUCUCUUAUAC